rnacentral:rRNA from 3 species
UUCCCGGGCCUUGUACACACCGCCCGUCACACCAUGGGAGUGGGUUGCAAAAGAAGUAGGUAGCUUAACCUUCGGGAGGGCGCUUACCACUUUGUGAUUCAUGACUGGGGUGAAGUCGUAACAAGGUAACCGUAGGGGAACCUGCGGUUGGAUCACCUCCUUACCUUAAAGAAGC